rfam:Cavia porcellus supercont2_13 genomic scaffold, whole genome shotgun sequence.
GGGGAUGUAGCUUAGCGGCACAGCGCCUGCCUGGCAAGUGCGAGGCCCCGAGUUCAACUCCCGGUACCACCA